CAGUAGCCACGGUAAUACGUAGGGUGCAAGCGUUAUCCGGAAUUAUUGGGCGUAAAGAGCUCGUAGGCGGUUUGUCGCGUCUGCUGUGAAAACUGGAGGCUCAACCUCCAGCCUGCAGUGGGUACGGGCAGACUAGAGUGCGGUAGGGGAGAUUGGAAUUCCUGGUGUAGCGGUGGAAUGCGCAGAUAUCAGGAGGAACACCGAUGGCGAAGGCAGAUCUCUGGGCCGUAACUGACGCUGAGGAGCGAAAGCGUGGGGAGCGAACAGGAUUAGAUACCCCCGUAGUCCCUGUCUCUUAUAC
rnacentral:rRNA from 1 species